UGAAACUGCGAAUGGCUCAUUAAAUCAGUUAUAAUUUAUUUGAUAAUACCUUACUACUUGGAUAACCGUGGUAAUUCUAGUGCUAAUACAUGCUUUAAGGCCCGACUUCUGGAAGGGCUGUAUCUAUUAGAUUAAAAACCAAUCGUAGCAAUACGUUUACUGGUGAAUCAUGAUAACUUUUCGAAUCGCAUAGCUUUGCUGGCGAUGGUUCAAUCAAAUUUCUGCCCUAUCACCUUUCGAUGGUAGUAUAGAGGACUACCAUGGGCGCAACGGGUAACGGAGAAUUAGGGUUCGAUUCCGGAGAGGGAGCCUGAGAAACGGCUACCACAUCCAAGGAAGGCAGCGGGCGCGCAAAUUACCCAAUUCCGAUACGGAGAGGUAGUGACAAUAAAUAACA
rnacentral:rRNA from 1 species